CCCUUAGAUGUCCUGGGUCGCACGCGCGCUACACUGAGUGUCUGAGAUACGAGUCUGCCUGGUCCGGCAAGGUCUAGGUAAUCGCUAAAAGACACAUCAUGCUUGGGAUAGAUUAUUGCAAAUAUUAAUCUUGAACGAGGAAUUCCUAGUAAGCGCAAGUCAACAGCUUGCGUUUAUUACGUCCCUGCCCUUUGUACACACCGCCCGUCGCUACUACUGAUUGGAUGUUUAAGCGAGGUUCUCGAACUGCUAGCGACUUAGCUUCGGUGAGGUCGCAGUGUGGGAAGUGAACCUAGCUUUGGUGUCUAGAGGAAGUAAAAGUCGUAACA
rnacentral:rRNA from 1 species